GUAAGGUGCCUUUUUCUAGGUUACAACCUUCCAUUUAGCGUGUUUGAGAAUUCUGUGGCGAUAUCAACGAGUGAAGUUCUAAGAAGUUAUUGAAGCCAUCUCUUUACUCAAGAAAAUCAUCUAAGGUAGUUCAUCACUUUUCAAGUCAAAACUCUUGCUUCUUCAAGAUAAUACUUCUGACGUCAAAUUUGUCUCCUCAAGGUACUGCUUCACAUAUUAAACUAUCUUAUGAUAUUUUAAUGCCAUA